rnacentral:rRNA from 1 species
UACGUAGGUGGCAAGCGUUGUCCGGAUUUACUGGGCGUAAAGCGCGCGCAGGCGGAUUGGUCAGUCCGGGGUGAAAUCUCACGGCUCAACUGUGAGCGGUCCCCGGAUACUGCCAGUCUCGAGGUGUCUAGAGGAGAGCGGAAUUCCCGGUGUAGUGGUGGAAUGCGUAGAUAUCGGGAGGAACACCAAUUGCGAAGGCAGCUCGCUGGGACGUUACUGACGCUGAGACGCGAAAGCGUGGGGAGCAAACAGG